rnacentral:ncRNA from 2 species
UAAUUCUUUUUAGUAUAAGGCGCCCUUAAGCAAAAGGGAGAAUAGGGAAACCGGUGACGCUUUUAAAGCAGAAUCCGGUGCGGACCCACCACUGUAAACGGCGACAAUUUUCCACACUCUAAGUUCACAUAGAGUUGCCACUGUGCGUAGAGCAUGGGAAGGCGGAAAUGAGGAUGAGCCGCAAGCCAGGAGACCUGCCUUAUACUAUUUAAUGGA